GCCAGUGUGGUGUAGUGGUUUGAAACUGGACUAUGAUUCUGGAGACCUGGGUUCAAAUGACAGCUCAGCCA